rnacentral:rRNA from 1 species
UAUCUCAUGUUAACGGUAAGUUUACUUACCGUUAACAUCGAGUGUUAAAUAUGCUAGUCCUUUCAUGAUUAUGUGAUAGGUGGUGCAUGGCCGUUCUUAGUUCGUGGAGUGAUCUGUCUGCUUAAUUGCGUUUCACUAAGGGCCCAUAAAUUCAAGGUAUGUUAGCUCUCGUCGCUCUAUGGACCCCUUAACUCCAAUAUUCUUAUUGUGUUAAGCGCGUGUCUUUAUUUUAAGAGUUUUAAGACACUGCGCAUGCUGUUGGGCUCUGAAAGCAACGAACGUGACCGCAACGUCUUGUUGCCUUAAACUAGCGUAUAUUGCAAUUUAUUGUAAUAUCGCUUACAGAGGCUAUUUAAAACUAACGGACCGCUGUUUCUUUCUUAAACCA